AUUGAACGCUGGCGGCAGGCCUAACACAUGCAAGUCGAGCGGAUGAAGGGAUCUUGCUCCUGGAUUCAGCGGCGGACGGGUGAGUAAUGCCUAUGAAUCUGCCUGGUAGUGGGGGAUAACGUCCGGAAACGGGCGCUAAUACCGCAUACGUCCUGAGGGAGAAAGUGGGGGAUCUUCGGACCUCACGCUAUCAGAUGAGCCUAGGUCGGAUUAGCUAGUUGGUGGGGUAAAGGCCUACCAAGGCGACGACCCGUAACUGGUCUGAGAGGAUGAUCAGUCACACUGGAACUGAGAGACGGUCCAGACUCCGACGGGAGGCAGCAGUGGGGAAUAUUGGACAAUGGGCGAAAGCCUGAUACAGCCAUGACGCGUGUGUGAAGAAGGUCUUCGGAUUGUAAAGCACUUUAAGUUGGGAGGAAGGGCAGUAAGUUAAUACCUUGCUGUUUUGACGUUACCAAAAGAAUAAGCACCGGCUAACUUCGU
rnacentral:rRNA from 1 species